AACCUCCACUGAAUCCCUCUCCUCCUCAUUUUACUCUCCUCCUCCUCCGCCGCCUCCUCCUGCUCUGCGAUCCUCUCCUCUUCUCUCUGUGCUGGUGUCUGUUCCCUCCAUAUUUGGGCUGCUGCUGGUUCUACUGGUUGUACUGGUGAAAAGACGGGUCCGGAAGAAACCUGAAGACAGAGAUCCUGCAGCAGCUGCCACCUCCUCAUCAGUGAGAAGAACAUCAGCAGACAGCCAACACAGAUCAAUCAGGAGAAGAGAUGUUUCAUUAGAGACAACAGUCAUCUACUCCUCACUGAAGCUGACUGACACACCUUCACCACAGCUCAGAUUCAAAAGUAACAUUUUUUCCUCACCUGAAGAAGAAUAAGAAGAAGAAGACGUCUCUCAAACCAGCUGCAGUCACAGUCUUAAACAUAUUAAUAGGGAAUUGGCAAUGGCUGCACUGAACACAUACUUUAAGAAGAGGGAGAAAUAAAGGAGAACAUAAAGGAGUGGAGGAAGGUGCACACAGGUGGAGUACACCUUAUGCUGAGGGUAUAAUCUGAAAGAGAUGGCAAGAUGGUGUCAGGGAGAAGGUAGCUAGGCAACAUGAGAUGGUAGUGUGUGUGAUGACUUUGGACAACAACAGGAGGAAGUGAGUGAGAGCAAAGACGAGGAAUAAAUGGUGGAAGCUAAAGAAGUCAGUUUGAUGUAAAUUUGGUGUAAAAUCUUGUGAUAAAUAAAAAAAACAUACACAGGUUUUAAGGGAACC